CGGGGUCUCGCACAGGCUCCAGGCCCUUGGGGUCCCGGAGGGUCCAGCAGAAGGGUCUGUGUUUUGCCCGGGGUCCUGAGAGCGUGCUGGGGAUAGCAGGGGUGGAGUGCAGGUGUGCCCAUGGGCGCCCCGGGUCCAGGGCCCGCGGAGCCGCUCUCGGGGCGGAGACCUUGCCCCCAGGGGCACGUCAGCGGUCCUGAGGUGAGGCUCCUGCAGAGCACUCUGGGCCGCGUGUGUCUCUCCCUGCGUGGGCAGGCAGUGUCGGUGGCCGGAGCGAGGGUGUUUUCCCAUCGGGGUGAGAGGGAGAGCCCCAGGGUGGGCCUGGGGGCGGAAUCGGACUCGGGGUUGGGGUGGACUCUUCUGAAGCUGGGAGGGGUGCGGGUGGGCAGGGCCUUAGGGAGCCUGAGGGAGGCGCGGUUCCUGGGGAAGGGUGUGGCGAGGCGGCGGCAGCCCGCGUCGCGCUGUGGCGCCCCAGCGAAGGGGCAGUGCUGGCCACUCGUGUGGCCCUUUGGCUGCUGGCACCCAGUGAGAGGGGGAGGCCAGGGACAGGUGGCAGCCAGGCUGCCCACAGGCCCUGGGCGGUGGGGGCCCGGCCCCUGUGCCUUGGGCAGCCUGGCCCUUGCUGAGGCGUGCUUGCGCGUGUCCGUUGUCGCCCUCACCCAGCUGCUGCGGCGGAGAGACGGAGGCCAGCGCGGGGAGCGGAAGCCGGAGCCUGUCGGGAGCGACCCCGGGAAGGCCAGUCCCUCCUGCCGGUGGGAGGCGUGUUGGCGUGCGGCCGGUGGCGGGAUCGAUGGCCACCUGGUAGGCGAUGCUGCUGCGGCGGAGAGACGGAGGCCAGCGCGGGGAGCGGAAGCCGGAGCCUGUCGGGAGCGACCCCGGGAAGGCCAGUCCCUCCUGCCGGUGGGAGGCGUGUUGGCGUGCGGCCGGUGGCGGGAUCGAUGGCCACCUGGUAGGCGAUGCUGCUGCGGCGGAGAGACGGAGGCCAGCGCGGGGAGCGGAAGCCGGAGCCUGUCGGGAGCGACCCCGGGAAGGCCAGUCCCUCCUGCCGGUGGGAGGCGUGUUGGCGUGCGGCCGGUGGCGGGAUCGAUGGCCACCUGGUAGGCGAUGGUAAGCGGCAGUGGCCUGCGCCAAGGUAGCCCCCGGGGGCGGUGUGUGGCGCCCGGACCCGCACCCUCUGCUCCCGGGGGUGGAGCUGACCUGCUUGCCCGCGGUUGGGCUCGGGAGCCUGCGGGCCGCGGCCAGGAGGGAGCUGGCUGGCCGUCCCGGCGGUGGGGGCUGUGGCGGUGGCCGUCCCGCGGGUGUGCCCGUGCUCGGAUCGAUGAUGACACCCACAAACGCAUUCCUUGGAAAAUCUGAACAAAAUGAGUGAGAACUCACUACCGUCUCCUCAUCGCAAACUGAGGUCCGGCACGUGGCUCCCACAGGGGCCGUCGGGGGAGGGUCCCGUUGCCUUGGCUCCCUUGGGUGCGUGCAGCCCUGGGGCGCAGGUGGGAGGCAGGCAGGCCUCCGGUGGCCC
rnacentral:lncRNA from 1 species